AGCAAGCUCAGGGCACUACAAAAUUCAGUAUCUGCAUCGUGGUUUCAUUGCUUGCAAAAGGGGUACUAUAUUGUUUCCCCAUCUCAGAUGCCACCAUGAAGAUUUACUGUUUCUUAUUCAGUGAUUUGGAUAUGGGAAAAAAAAAGAUUUUAAUGUUAACAAGUCACAACUCUGAAGUCUACAUUGCUUUCCGCAUAGAUGUAGGUGUGAAACUGGGGGAGAGGAUAAAAAUUGAGGAGAAUCCAAACAGCUGAGGAAAUUAAAUCCUUUUCUUAUGCAAACAAGAGAAAUCAGAUUGAAAAUGUUUUCAGCUAAAGCCCAAGAGCCACAGAAAAUAACACUGCAGAUGCUGCGGCCAUCAAGUGAGCUGAUCCUUAGACAAAGCAUGGCUUUGGGGAGACCCAAUCUGUACAGAUAGUACCAGUCUGGUGGUGAAACGCAGCACUUAAAUUUCCCAAAAGCUUUCAAGGGAAGAAAGUACAAAUCAUGUGAUGUCCCUGGAUAAACUUGCAGCAGAAGUGACAGUCUGAUCCUACUGGCCAUGCUGCUUAAAAGGAAAUAGAACAUAAGUCCAGUAUAAGAAAGAAACUGAUCAUGCAGCAUGCCUGAAACUAAGUAGAUCUGCACACCACAGAGAUGGAUGUGUCCCAAGGAAAGAAGAAAUAUUUACUGAGGUCUGAACAAAGCUGGAGCAAAGUUCUUUUUCUAAGUACUGAUGCUGUGCUAAACUGUUCGUUUCAUUUAUAAACGGGGCCAGUUGCAAAGCCAACGACAGCGAGCUAAAGGAAAAGUCAAUGUCUCAGGCCAGAAACCUAACUGAUAUAUACAAAAGACAAAACAGAAAACUGGUGUCCAAACUGGGAGAUCCUCCUCACCUUUCUUCUCCAACUGCCUUGUCUAAUUUAGGUCCUCUGGACUCACUCCAUGUCCCUCGUGUACUGGGGAGCCCAGAACUGGACACAGUACUAUAGGUGUGGCCUCGCCAGGGCUGAGUAGAGGGGGAGGAUCACCUCCCUUGACCUGCUGGCAACAAUCUUCUGAAUGCACGCAAGGAUACUGAGCCAGGGCAGGUUGCUGGCUCAUGGGCUGGCUGCUGGCCACCAGGACUCCAAGGUCCCUCUGCAGAGCUACUUUCAGGCAGGUUACCUCCUGACCUGUAUGGGUGUUUGGGGUUGUUCCUUGGGGUGAAGGAUCCUGAAUUUGCCUUUGUUGAACUUCAUGGGUUUCCUUACCAGCCAACUCUCCAGCCUAUCCCUUAUUAUUGCACCCCUGCCUGGAAAUACAAAAAUUUGGACUCAGCCUCCAGUGGUCCAGCUUCCCUAGCUGCUUGUGGGGUGCUUUUUUGAAAAGUCAAAGGACCCUAAAUGUCAAAGUGGGAAUUUUUAACCAAGCUCUAGCUUGGUGCUCUGUAAGGAGAAGUCAAAGCUACCCAGCUCUUUCUCUGCUGCUCAGCAGCAGCAUCUCAAAGCGAUAAAGCUGUCCAGAGAGCCAAGAGAGGAAUUGAAGACCAAGACAAUCCCACUUUGUUCCUCAUCAUCCCAUACCUGGAACAAAUACGAUUUCUGGGGGGAUUACAGGGUUGAAUUGACUCUAGUUCUGCCUCAUCAACUUUUUAUCCAGGCUCUCACCUCCUUAGGAAAUGCAUAAAGCCAUUAGCAUUUGCCACAAAUAAGGACCCCAUUACAAAGCUGAAGGGUAUGAUCAUUGGAAAAGCUGAUUCACAAAAUUUCCAUGCAGGGUCCUAAAAAGAAUUCCAUAAUCCAGAAUUUCACUUUUUCUCAGUUCUGUAAGAAGUGAAGGGUUCGAAGUACCAAAUCUAAUAUUUACAGUAUAGGAAUUAUUAACCAGGACAGACACUGAUAGCAAAAUUUUAAUUUUCAAAAACAUAAAAUAAAAAAAAUAAAUAGGAGUAAAUGGAGGCAUGCUGGCAAGUUUUGCGCUGUGGGAGCUUUUUGAAGGUGAAUAUUACCCAGCAGGGAAGGGCCUGAAUCGAUCCUGCUGUUUUCCCUACGGGUUGCUCUGUUCAAAUACAGGCAACACGGAAGAACUUUGGAGAAGAAUGUAUAAUUUGCCAACAGAUCUAAUAAAAUAUGAAAAGCUGAGUCCACAGGGGAUAUGUGAUCAGAUAUCUGUGUUUCAGGCAAAGUUGUUUUCCAGGACAACUUCAAGACAGAAGUAAAUUUCAACUUCACAUAAUUUGUGAACUUUAUAGAGCAUGUCUAGAAUUUUUAUCUUAGAUAUAAGUGUACAAAUAUGUGUAGAAAUAAACCAUAGAAUGGCUUAGGUUGGAAGGGACCUUAAAGAUCAUAUUAAUCUAACCCCCCUGCCAUAGACAGGGAUACCACCCACUACAUCAGAUUAGCCAAGGC